CUCUCUCGUGCGGACGGAAGGAUGCUUAGUCUCUCCCUCUCUCUAUCUCUCUCCCUCUCCCUUAGCUCCCCCAUCUCCCAUCCGUGGGUGGGCUCCCUCAACUCCUCUCCAUCGAUGGAUUAGAAGGUAAGACCUUUAUCCACAUAGAUUGAUCAUUUAUUUUGUUCUUUUUGCUUCUUAUUCUUGUUAUUUCAUCCUUUUUUUUGGAGAUAUAUGGGGAAGGAGAGCUCCUGAGGGGGAUCAGAAGGGUUCAUUAGGUUUCGGUUGGUGUUUUCUCUCAAGGCAUUUGGUGU
rnacentral:lncRNA from 1 species